GGGAGCAGGCCGGCGCGGGAGCGUGAGGUCAGCAGGGGCCGUGGGCGGUGGACGCCGGCGUGUCUUGGGUUCCGAGGGACCCAGCUGUCGGAAUGGACACGCGGCAUCCACGUUCAUCUGAAUAAAGACUGCCUCUUCAGCCACAGCUAAGAUGCCUGUAAUAGGAGUGAGAGCCGCCUCUGUUGCAGGAAGCCCCUGGGAUUUCAGAGCUGCUUGUAACUGCAGCCUAACACAGCCUCAGCAGACCGAUACGUCGUCGUGUCGCCAAAACAGAGCAGAUGUAAUUAGUUAAGAUGUGGCCAUACCGGCCUAGUGGGCCCUAAAUCCAGUGAGACUGGUAUCCUUAUAAGAAGACGGAGACACGGGGAGAAGAUGGCCCCGUGAUACCAGAAGCAGACUGGAGUGAUGCAUCUGCAAACCAGGAAACAUCAAGCAAUGCUGGCAACACCAUGAGAAGAGACAAGGGAGGACCCUUCCCUAGCACUUCAGAGGGCAGACGGCCCUUCUGGCACCGUGACUUGGGACUUCUAGCUUCCAGAACCCUGAGAGAAUACGCCUGUGGUUUGAAGCCACCCGGUCUUUGCCAGUGUGUCAUGGCAGCUCUAAGAAACCAACCCAGCGUGGUUAUGCAUUUUCCUUAAGUCCAGAUCUUGGCUAACAGGAAGUGGCAAGAAAAUAAGGAAAAGCCCACUCUCUCUCUCUCUCUCUCUGGCCAGGAUGGUGUCUCCUCCCACGUGGAGAAGGAGAGCUGCUCCUUCUGCCAUUACUGCCAUUACUGCUAAUGAAAAGUGAAAUGACAAGUGAGGAGUGAGAAAAUCGGAUGGCCCCUGGUGGGCACACGCUGUGGGACUCGCUAGCCAGUGUAAGGAGCUCGGAGAGGUGUGACAGCGCUCCCCAGAGAGGACGGUUCUCCAGAUUUUGAGAAAGGCACGUCUUCUCUGGUCAUCUCUAGUUUCAGACCCAGAGAAAAGCCCGGUUCUUGGCUGGUAUUUAAGCUCCUCAUUUUUGUCACAUUGCUUUCUCACUCUAAUGAUCUUGAUCAAGUUUUCACCCUGUGAGAGUCACACGCGGGAGGAAUGGGAUGGAGCGCUCAGCCGUUCACAGAGCCCAGCCCUGCCUCCCUCUGCUUGGUGUGCUUACUCUUGGCAAGAUGCAGCUUCCUGUUCAGAGAAAAAGGACUUAAAAAGGAUCGUAAAAUGGGCUCCCAAGGCUCCUUGAAUAGCAAAUAGCUUUUAAAAGACAACACUUUAAUGGCCUAUGAGUAUCCAAGUCAAAAACAAAAGUAUUGAAUAUCCCUUUAAAUGUGUAUGAGUUUAAAAAGCAAGAUGGGAAUAGAUUUGGCAAAGUUUCUUCUGGAUUUUAUAGAAUUCAAAAUGCUCAAAAAAUUUUUACCUAUACGCCCACACACAACUGCAAAACUUUUAUAAACGACGUGGGGAGAUAACAAAAAUGAUAUUGUGCAAAUCCAAACAGUAUGCAGCUUCUGCAUUGCUGUGCCUGAUGGAAAUAUUUCUCUCUUUUAUGAGCGUCUCUCUGUGCGUGGAGAAGGAAGAAAGAUGGGCGUAUGAGGCAGGGAGGGGAGAAAGGAGGAAGAGAAGCCUAUUCCGGGCUUCAUGGCCGUUCUCAGUACUCACUCGUGUGUCCUCUAAAUGGAACCAUUUGCUGUACAUUUUGAAUUGCUAACAUUUGGUAGACUAGGGGACAAUGGAUUUUUGCGUAAACUAUGAAUUUUAUGACAAUGAAUUAGCAUGUUCAUUGAACAGAAAGUAAACAAAGCUUAGUAC
ensembl:lncRNA